rnacentral:rRNA from 1 species
UACGUAGGGGGCAAGCGUUGUCCGGAAUCAUUGGGCGUAAAGAGCGUGUAGGCGGCCAGGGAGGUCCGUUGUGAAAACUCGAGGCUCAACCUCGAGACGCCGAUGGAAACCCCCUGGCUAGAGUCCGGAAGAGGAGAGUGGAAUUCCUGGUGUAGCGGUGAAAUGCGCAGAUAUCAGGAAGAACACCCGUGGCUAAGGCGACUCUUUGGCCUGUAACUGACACUGAGGCGCGAAAGCGUGGGGAGCAAACAGG